GACGAACGCUGGCGGCGUGCUUAACACAUGCAAGUCGAACGGAAAGGCCUCUUUCGGGGGGUACUCGAGUGGCGAACGGGUGAGUAACACGUGAGUAACCUGCCCUUGACUUUGGGAUAACUUCAGGAAACUGGGGCUAAUACCGGAUAGGAGCUCCUGCUGCACGGUGGGGGUUGGAAAGUUUCGGCGGUUGGGGAUGGACUCGCGGCUUAUCAGCUUGUUGGUGGGGUAGUGGCUUACCAAGGCUUUGACGGGUAGCCGGCCUGAGAGGGUGACCGGCCACAUUGGGACUGAGAUACGGCCCAGACUCCUACGGGAGGCAGCAGUGGGGAAUAUUGCACAAUGGGCGGAAGCCUGAUGCAGCAACGCCGCGUGCGGGAUGACGGCCUUCGGGUUGUAAACCGCUUUCGCCUGUGACGAAGCGUGAGUGACGGUAAUGGGUAAAGAAGCACCGGCUAACUACGUG
rnacentral:rRNA from 1 species